rnacentral:rRNA from 1 species
UACAGAGGUCUCAACCGUUGUUCGGAUUCAUUGGGCGUAAAGGGUGCGUAGGUGGCGCGGUAAGUCGGGUGUGAAAUCUCGGAGCUUAACUCCGAAAUUGCAUUCGAUACUGCCGUGCUCGAGGACUGGAGAGGAGACUGGAAUUCAUGGUGUAGCAGUGAAAUGCGUAGAGAUCAUGAGGAAGACCAGUGGCGAAGGCGGGUCUCUGGACAGUUCCUGACACUGAGGCACGAAGGCCAGGGGAGCAAACGGG